GCAUCGCCGCGGGAAUACGUAGGGUGCAAGCGUUGUCCGGAAUCAUUGGGCGUAAAGCGCGCGUAGGUGGCCAUUUAAGUCCGCUGUGAAAGUCAAAGGCUCAACCUUUGAAAGCCGGUGGAUACUGGAUGGCUAGAGUACGGAAGAGGCGAGUGGAAUUCCUGGUGUAGCGGUGGAAUGCGCAGAUAUCAGGAGGAACACCAAUAGCGAAGGCAGCUCGCUGGGACGUUGCUGACACUAAGGCGCGAAAGCGUGGGGAGCGAACAGGAUUAGAUACCCCCGUAGUCCCUGUCUCUUAUACA
rnacentral:rRNA from 1 species